UUUAGGUGAUAAGUAUCACCUUUGGAAGAUAUAUUUUUCCAACCCCUAUAAUUAAUUUCGUUUUUCCUCAAGUCUAAAAACAUUAGAACCUUAGCUUAACAGAUUGUUCUUCAAAAUCACAAGAGAAAACUUGGCCCUUUUGGUUGGAAUUCAAGAACACACACUUCUUGUUGGUUGUAUAUACUCGUGAACAAGUUGAGGACCUUGAUACGUUGGUUGGACUGUUUCUUUGCUAAGGCACUGAGGGGAAUGAUCGAGUGGAUGCAUGAAGCGGGCCAUUGGAGAUGGAAUUUUUGAGAGCCUUAAGGAAGAUCACAUUUGCAUUUAGGCAUCUAUAUUUUGUAUAAACCUUGGGACUUGUACAUGAUCUUUGUGUUGUAUAAUUACAUGAAG